rnacentral:rRNA from 1 species
AGAGUUUGAUCCUGGCUCAGGAUGAACGCUGGCGGCGUGCCUAACACAUGCAAGUCGAACGAGGUAAAUGAGAUGAAGUUUUCGGAUGGAUUCUUAUUUACCGAGUGGCGGACGGGUGAGUAACGCGUGGGUAACCUGCCUCAUACAGGGGGAUAACGAUUGGAAACGAUUGCUAAUACCGCAUAAGCGCACAGUACCACAUGGUACAGUGUGAAAAACUCCGGUGGUAUGAGAUGGACCCGCGUCUGAUUAGCUAGUUGGUGGGGUAACGGCCUACCAAGGCGACGAUCAGUAGCCGACCUGAGAGGGUGACCGGCCACAUUGGGACUGAGACACGGCCCAAACUCCUACGGGAGGCAGCAGUGGGGAAUAUUGCACAAUGGGCGAAAGCCUGAUGCAGCAACGCCGCGUGAGUGAUGAAGGCCUUCGGGUCGUAAAACUCUGUCCUCAAGGAAGAUAAUGACGGUACUUGAGGAGGAAGCCCCGGCUAACUACGUGCCAGCAGCCGCGGUAAUACGUAGGGGGCUAGCGUUAUCCGGAUUUACUGGGCGUAAAGGGUGCGUAGGCGGUCUUUCAAGUCAGGAGUGAAAGGCUACGGCUCAACCGUAGUAAGCUCUUGAAACUGGGAGACUUGAGUGCAGGAGAGGAGAGUGGAAUUCCUAGUGUAGCGGUGAAAUGCGUAGAUAUUAGGAGGAACACCAGUUGCGAAGGCGGCUCUCUGGACUGUAACUGACGCUGAGGCACGAAAGCGUGGGGAGCAAACAGGAUUAGAUACCCUGGUAGUCCACGCCGUAAACGAUGA